rnacentral:rRNA from 1 species
GACAGAGGGUGCAAACGUUGUUCGGAAUUACUGGGCGUAAAGCGCGUGUAGGCGGCCCUGUAAGUCGGGUGUGAAAUCCCACGGCUCAACCGUGGAAGUGCAUUCGAAACUACAGGGCUAGAGUUCUGGAGAGGAAGGUGGAAUGCUUGGUGUAGAGGUGAAAUUCGUAGAUAUCAAGCGGAACACCGGUGGCGAAGGCGGCGACCUGGUACGAUACUGACGCUGAGGCGCGAAAGCGUGGGGAGCAAACAGG